GACGAACGCUGGCGGCGUGCUUAACACAUGCAAGUCGAACGGAAAGGCCCCUUUGGGGGUACUCGAGUGGCGAACGGGUGAGUAACACGUGAGUAACCUGCCCUUGACUUCGGGAUAACUUCAGGAAACUGGGGCUAAUACCGGAUAGGAAUCCUUGCUGCAUGGUGGGGGUUGGAAAGCUUCGGCGGUUUUGGAUGGACUCGCGGCUUAUCAGCUUGUUGGUGGUGUAGUGGCUUACCAAGGCUUUGACGGGUAGCCGGCCUGGGAGGGCGACCGGCCACAUUGGGACUGAGAUACGGCCCAGACUCCGACGGGAGGCAGCAGUGGGGAAUAUUGCACAAUGGGCGGAAGCCUGAGGCAGCAACGCCGCGUGCGGGAUGACGGCCUUCGGGUUGUAAACCGCUUUCAGCAGGGGCGAAGCUUGUGGUGACGGUACCUGCAGAAGAAGCACCGGCUAACUACGUG
rnacentral:rRNA from 1 species